UGCCUCAGUAACGGCGAGUGAAGCGGCAAGAGCUCAAAUUUGAAAUCUGGCCUCUUUGGGGUCCGAGUUGUAAUUUGCAGAGGAUGCUUCGGGAGUGGUCCCCAUCUAAGUGCCCUGGAACGGGACGUCAUAGAGGGUGAGAAUCCCGUAUGGGAUGGGUGGCCGCGCCCGUGUGAAGCGCCUUCGACGAGUCGAGUUGUUUGGGAAUGCAGCUCUAAGCGGGUGGUAAAUUUCAUCUAAAGCUAAAUAUUGGCCGGAGACCGAUAGCGCACAAGUAGAGUGAUCGAAAGAUGAAAAGCACUUUGAAAAGAGAGUUAAAUAGCACGUGAAAUUGUUGAAAGGGAAGCGUUGUCCACCAGACUCGCCCGGGAGGGUUCAGCUGGCACUUGUGCCGGUGUACUCCCUUUCGGGCGGGCCAGCAUCGGUUUGGGCGGCCGCUAAAAGGCCUCGGGAAUGUAGCACCCUCCGGGGUGCCUUAUAGCCCGGGGUGACAUGCGACCUGCCUGGACCGAGGUUCGCGCUUCGGCGAGGAUGCUGGCGUAAUGGUGGUCAACGG
rnacentral:rRNA from 1 species